rnacentral:lncRNA from 1 species
UCGAUGUCGAAAUAGAAGUCCGGUGGCAUGAAAACUCCUAUUUGACUUGCAAGUGCCACAGCCCUCCUUCCUUGGGCAUCGUGGCGCCGUGCUCUCGGUAUUAUUUUUUUUCAGAUUUUCGUUUUGGGUGUCGCGGCGCUCCCUCCUUGGUGGACGUGGCACUGAAGCCUCUGGUUUUCUGAAGUGUACAUCCCUUAUGGGGGUGCCGUGGAGCCCUAUGCUCUAUUUCUCCAAUUCUGCUCUACUGCACUACUUCAACUUGUGGC